rnacentral:rRNA from 1 species
GAUGAACGCUAGCGGCAGGCCUAACACAUGCAAGUCGAGGGGUAAGGUCCCGAGUAAUCGGGAUACACGACCGGCGCACGGGUGAGUAACUCGUAUGCAACCUACCUUCAACAGGGAGAUAGCUCCCGGAAACGGGAAUUAAUAUCCCAUAAUAUUUUUUUAUAGCAUUAUAGAAAGAUUAAAGCUCCGGCGGUUGAAGAUGGGCAUGCGUGACAUUAGCUAGUUGGUAAGGUAACGGCUUACCAAGGCUACGAUGUCUAGGGGGUCUGAGAGGAUGAUCCCCCACACUGGUACUGAGACACGGACCAGACUCCUACGGGAGGCAGCAGUGAGGAAUAUUGGGCAAUGGACGCGAGUCUGACCCAGCCAUGCCGCGUGCAGGAUGACUGCCCUAUGGGUUGUAAACUGCUUUUCUGCAGGAAGAAACUUCCCGACGUGUCGGGACUUGACGGUACUGCAGGAAUAAGCAUCGGCUAACUCCGUGCCAGCAGCCGCGGUAAUACGGAGGAUGCAAGCGUUAUCCGGAUUUAUUGGGUUUAAAGGGUGCGUAGGCGGGAAAUUAAGUCAGUGGUGAAAUCCUGCACCUUAACUGUAGAACUGCCCUUGAUACUGGUUUCCUUGAGUAUAGUUGAAGUGGGCGGAAUGUGUAUGUAGCGGUGAAAUGCUUAGAUAUUACACAGAACACUAUUGCGAAGGCAGCUCACUAAACUAAUACUGACGCUGAGGCACGAAAGCGUGGGGAGCAAACAGGAUUAGAUACCCUGGUAGUCCACGCCGUAAACGUUGAUUACUCGAUGUGUGCGAUACACUGUACGCGUCUGAGCGAAAGCAUUAAGUAAUCCACCUGGGGAGUACGAUCGCAAGAUUGAAACUCAAAGGAAUUGACGGGGGCCCGCACAAGCGGAGGAACAUGUGGUCUAAUUCGAUGAUACGCGAGGAACCUUACCUGGGCUUAAAUGUAGACUGAUUUCCACCGAAAGGUGGUUUCCCUUCGGGGCAGACUGCAAGGUGCUGCAUGGUUGUCGUCAGCUCGUGCCGUGAGGUGUCGGGUUAAGUCCCAUAACGAGCGCAACCCCUAUCGUUAGUUGCCAGCGAGUAAUGUCGGGGACUCUAGCGAAACUGCCGGUGUAAACCGUGAGGAAGGUGGGGAUGACGUCAAAUCAGCACGGCCCUUAUGUCCAGGGCUACACACGUGUUACAAUGGCCGGUACAGAGGGCAGCUACCUGGUAACAGGUUGCAAAUCUCGAAAAACCGGUCUUAGUUCGGAUCGAAGUCUGCAACUCGACUUCGUGAAGCUGGAUUCGCUAGUAAUCGCGCAUCAGCCAUGGCGCGGUGAAUACGUUCCCGGGCCUUGUACACACCGCCCGUCAAGCCAUGGAAGUUGGGGGUGCCUGAAGUCCGUAACCGCAAGGAGCGGCCUAGGGUAAAACCAGUGUCUGGGGC